GGAAAAAGGAAAGAUGCAAAGCUUCCAUUUACGAGUCAUCAGUUUGGCAAUGCAAAUUAUUUGUUGGCAUGUUCCAGGAAAUUUGUUUUCAUGCCUCUACGCAAAAUAGACAAAAUCGUGAAAGAUGACCUCUGUUUUAAAGUAAUAUGAUUUCUGCUAUGGACAACACUCGGUUGGUCUAUUAUACAGAUAUUCAAUGUUGUCGUUUGUGCAGUCAUGGAAUUUAUCUUUGUUUUAAUAAAAUAAAAGAAGAAUCAUGAGGCAAACUUAAUGUUUUCAUUUAAAUAUCAUCAUUGCAGUCGUUUGUACAGCCAUACAUAAAUUUAUCUUUGUUUCGAUAAAAAAAAAAAAGAAUCGUGAGUUUUCUCCGUUAAUUCAAGUUUAUGUGCGUUUUGCGAUUUCAAUUAAUUUUUAGAAAAGUGUACUUGAAUAGACGCAAAUGUACACAAAGCAGUCACAGUCAUAAGUUGUUUUAAAAUUCUAUUUAUAUAUAUUUUUUAUAGUCAUAUAUACUAUACUUGUAUAUAAAAUAAACAAUAGAUAUUCGACAAUUAAUUCAUUAUCCGUUUCUUUAUUAAUAAAUGAUUAUCGCGUAUUAAAGUCAGUGCAUCAUGGAAGAUGAUCAAGAACUUCUAUACAAAAUACUUCUAUACAAAAAUAUUGAUCAUAAUUGCAUUCACAUUAAGUCGAUUUUUAAUCACUACAACUUUAAUCUCUCUUAUUUUGGAUAUACAAUGUGGACGAGUUUUUUGGAAUCACCAUGAAACUUCAUAGAUCAACCCGGUCUUUCGCUUCCAAAGUCUACAAUUUCAAAUUCGUCAUGGAUAAUAGAUCUUCUGCCACAACUAGUAAAUUUCUGUUACUUAAGUAAGUGAACAAUAAAUGGAUUAUACC